rnacentral:rRNA from 1 species
UAGGGAAUCUUCCACAAUGGGCGCAAGCCUGAUGGAGCAACACCGCGUGAGUGAAGAAGGGUUUCGGCUCGUAAAGCUCUGUUGUUAAAGAAGAACACGUAUGAGAGUAACUGUUCAUACGUUGACGGUAUUUAACCAGAAAGUCACGGCUAACUACGUGCCAGCAGCCGCGGUAAUACGUAGGUGGCAAGCGUUAUCCGGAUUUAUUGGGCGUAAAGAGAGUGCAGGCGGUUUUCUAAGUCUGAUGUGAAAGCCUUCGGCUUAACCGGAGAAGUGCAUCGGAAACUGGAUAACUUGAGUGCAGAAGAGGGUAGUGGAACUCCAUGUGUAGCGGCGGAAUGCGUAGAUAUAUGGAAGAACACCAGUGGCGAAGGCGGCUACCUGGUCUGCAACUGACGCUGAGACUCGAAAGCAUGGGUAGCGAACAGGAUUAGAUACCCUGGUAGUCCAUGCCGUAACGAUGAGUGCUAGGUGUUGGAGGGUUUCCGCCCUUCAGUGCCGGAGCUAACGCAUUAAGCACUCCGCCUGGGGAGCACGACCGCAAGGUUG